rnacentral:lncRNA from 1 species
GAGUUGGAUGAGAGAGAAGAGGAGAGAGAAGGGAAGCGGGCUCUUUGUGAAGAGCCAGCUUUAACACGUGCUCCUAGGUGCUUUGUGAGAAUGAAAGAUGGGUCAUAUAAGAUAAAAGUAGUACUCUUUUAUAGCUAACUAUUGUAAAAGCUACCUAUAACAUGGGUUAUAAGAUAGGUUAUAGCGAGGAGCUGUCUAUACUCAGUCAUUCUCGCGCGCCCCAGCUUGUCCGAGUGCUACCUGGCAGACAUGCGCUUGCCUCAGCUUGUCCGAGUGCUACCUCCCUCGCUCCCCUUUCUUGCCCGACGCACCAUUGAGGCAGCGCCCGUACUCUAACCACCGGCCCCACCACCAUGGUCGGUCGGGCAUGAGCUCGCAUGGCUAUAUUAGCCUCUCCCCGAGAUCCUCGAGCUCGAGUGAGCCUCUCCUCUACCCUCCCAGCUUUCUCCAGGACUUCCCAAUUUCUCUCUAGGGAGUCUCAUUGCUUCUCCUGGCCGCCAUGACCGUCAUGAGCCUCGGAUCAAAUUCGAGCUCCGCGACCCCCUCUGCUCCACCUAGCCACCACGAGAGUCUCCCCAAGACGUCUCCAACCACCGACAUCCACAGCUUUGGCAGAGGAGCUCCACCGAACAGACCUCACCAAUGCCCGGAGCCUCCCUCCAUUGCGGACCCAAGUCGCCUCUGCUUCGGUCCUCUCUAGCAUGCGUGCAGGCCUGGGGUGGAUGUGCCGCCUCCUCUAGAACUCGACCAGGGCCGGAGGUGCCGAGGCGAGCACCAGCCAUGCUCGGCCUCGUUUGCCGCUGCCCCGAACAGGAGGAAGAAGAAGGCAGCCAUCCCCUCGGUCCCACCCAUCAACCAGACGGCCGACGGGGGCGCUGACCCCAGGCCUAGUAAGCUUAAGUAGAGACGCCUUCCAAAGGACGCGUUUGCCCUUUAAUGAUAGCAUAUUCCCAGAAAGGUGCCUCCUGUUUCUAACCCCGCCGGUCGAAUCUGUUAGAUUGUGGUUGUUCG